AAGACAGCUGUAUACCAUCAUACUUCAGAGAAAAGAAAAGAAGCUUCUGGGUUCACCACCAACAUUCAUCACAGGACAACAUCAAGCUAGAAACUAAGAACAGCUUUCAACAGACAAAGCAGCAACCUGUUAUUUCUCUUUGGAAAUCUGUGUCAGGGGAAGGAAGUGGGAAAGGAAAGACAGGGAAGGAGCAGGGAGAAGCUGGACCAUUAAUUCCCCUCUCCCGAACACAAGAUGUUUGCUCGCAGCUGUCAAAGUCUCUUUAUAUGAGUGAAGGCAAGAAGCUUGGUUACCAAGGAGUUUUUGUUCCAUGGAUGAAUCUUCAGGUGUGCAAUGAGACACACAUUCACCAGCAUUUUAAAUUAAAAGAGGAGGAGAGCCACCAGCCCUGCACGUGACUGCUUUCAGCAUCUGCCAAAGAGAUCCCUCCGCUGUGACCUCCUGUCCCUCGGAGAAGCACGAGUGCCUCUGCAAAAGCAAUGGUUUCUGCCUGCUCUCCCACUUGGAUCUCCAGCAGCACAAAUCCGUCUUUGGCAGCAGCAGAGCUCAGAGACAGCUGCAGCCAGGAGCAGAGCAAUCCCUCCACAGAGGUGCCACUGAACAGGUAACAGGCACUCUGUCACUGCUAUCAACUCUGAGCUUGCUUGUGCUAACUUUUGUAGGAAACCAAAAAAAUGUGAAGCAGAAGCUCCUCCAAGUGCUUUAACCCCAGGGCAGUAGAGCUCAGCAGUCGCAUCAGGCACAAGCUCUGGUGAAAGUUUGUCUCACACAGGGGCUGUUGGGUCACAUCCCCCUGCACAAAAACGCCCCUAACCACGGGCUUCUAGCAGAAAUGAGAGACCUUUUCAUCCAGGCAAAGACUUGUCAGAAUUAAUAUCUUUGAACCCAAAUCCCCUCUGUCAAAUUUGACUGCAGUUGGCUGACAAGGUCCACCAUUACUUAGCAAGGCUGGCUGGGAGAGAGGGCAUACAGAGAAAGGAAAGCACAACUGCAUAACCUCUGUUUUCAGAAGAAAUCAGCCUGGCAAAAAAAACCCAAGAAAACCACCAUAAAAAAAGCCCCACCCACAAACCUGAAAAACCAAAUCCUGCUCUUCCAGGGCAUUGCUACAACCAGCUCAUGUUCUUACUGAAGUUAGUUUUAUUUCAAAGCAUUUUAUUCCACUGAGUUCUUUUCCUUCAUCUCAAAAUGAGAUUAAAAUUCACUUUGCACACAGCUAAAAGCCAGAAAAAUCACACAUUAAAUAUUAUAUCCUAAAUAAAACGCCCCUUGACAAUGUGAGAUUUUGUGUGUAUUAAUUCAGUGGAGGUAUUUCUAGAUAUUUCUUAUCUUAUCCUCAUCUUGGUGCAACUCCAGGAACUGUGUAUGUAUCUAAUAACACUAAGCAGCAGCCCCUCAGCAGAGCUGAAAUGUGUUUAGUCAGCCAGUUCUCUGGAAAAGGGAGACCAGAGUUGGAUCAGGUUGAAGCCACAGCAUGAGGCCCCAUGGGACAGCAUCAUCGAGACCAAACAUUUGCUUUCCUGAAGCUGCAGAAAUCCUCAAAAAUCAGUUAGGCACCAACUAUAAUUAUCUUUACAAGACAAAUUGCUAUGUCUCUGACAGCCCUUCCCUUAAGUUUCCAACAUCUCUAUUUCAAAUAAAGCUUUGUUGUCCUCUUUACUAUUAACACCAGGUUUUAGAGCAGAAUGAGGAUUUCUGUACUAUCAAACAUAACCAAACUACUUGUUAUAGAUCAAAAGCUGGAUCAUUACAUGGUAUUUCUCCCCAUAAAUUUUCACUAACCUAAGAACAAGUAGCUGGGUUAGGGAAACUGAUGAAAGGGCCUCAGUAUGGCUCUAACUAGCUACUCUUAGGCAUUUAAAUAACCAUGCAAAGGAAUUAGCAAUACUGUUAGCAAAGUUAAUUACAAAAAUAGUGAUGACCAAGCUUGCUUAAAGGGAAGGAAAAUUAUGUUGAACAAAGCUAAAUCCUUUUCUACAACUUGCAGAAAGAAUCAUGCUCUUCUGAAAAAGUUUCCUUAACUUCUUCAAUAUGCACUUCCCAAGAAAAUGACAGAAUCUUAGUCCACUAAAAGAUGCUGAUAAAUUCACAGGUUUUUAAAAAUUUAAUGCUGUUUCUGUUGCUAGUUCUUUGAAAUUGCUGCAAACACAAUCAGCCUCUUCCUUGGUUGAAAUGGUUGACUGAAAUGGGACAUUCAUUAUCCAAUUUUAAAACAAUACUCAAGUAAAACUUCCAUGACAAUUGUGCUUUUAAUAAAAAAGUGAAAGAUGUGAUAAGUGUCUUGCAGUUUGGACUACCAACAGGAUUCAGAUUGGCCAGAACAUACUCACAGCAUCUGCUUUACCUAAGCAAAAGUCUGCAGGCUGGCAAUAAGUUUCUAAAAACAACCUAGGAGUAUCAUUGCUUUUGAAGCAGCAAUUAAUGAGAGAACAUAAGAGAAAGGAGAGGCAUAUUCCACCUCCCCAAAGCAGAGUAAAAGUACUCACAGCCAGACUACAUCUGGACUAAGACACAAAAGAAUUUCCUACUGGCUUACCAGCCCUGAGCUCCUCAUGUGGGUACAGCCCCCACCACGUUCAGGGCAGCUCAGGACAGAAGAACACUGGUAAGACCUUGAUGAGAAUUCCCGUGUGCCAGGGGCAUCAGAGAGAUCAGGAUCCCAGGCUGUGCUGUAGUCAGCCAGAAUGUGGUCCCAUAGCCCAGGAUAUCAACUAUGUUAAGUGACAGCCCUCCAUUUCCUCACAGGACUUUCUUACACUUCCUAGAGGCUAAGACCUGCUCCUCUUACACAGGCCUUUCCUAGCUUUUUCUGAUUCCAAGUCUUUCCCUAGAAAAGCAAUUUGAAAAAAUGCACUGCCAUGUUCCUGCUUUUCAGCAAGGUGCUGACUGUUGCUGAAAUGAAUUCAUUCCCUUUGCUGUCACUACUCCCACUCUUCAGAGCACCAGAACACAUUACCAGGAAUGAUGCAAAUGCAGCUUACUUCACUCUGAGUCAGUCAGAUAAACUCACACUCCUGUCUAGGCUUUCACAAUGUGAUGCCAUAACUACAUUUUCUUGGGAAAUUGAAGCAUUUGCCUUUGGAAAACAUGCUCUUAAGAGGUAUGGAAUGCUUUCAACCUCAUUUCAUAAAAACAUUUAUGGCUUGCUGCUUUUAUUUUAACCACAACUUUUUCUUCCCUAUAUGUGGGCAUAAAAGGAACUAUAAAACAUAAUUUUAAGCUAAAUAAAAUACUGAAUGAAACUCAUCCAUUGUUGCAUGAAUCUGGAUGCACUAUAAAAUAUUUAAAGCUAUUCAAAUAUAUUUUGAUCAGUAUAACAUAAAAUGCAUUUUAGUGUGUUUGAAGUUCAGAUGUAUUUGAGUAUCAUUUGCUCACACUUAAAUGCUUUAAAAUGGCCACAUUUCUGUUCACUGGAAAAAUUAUUUACUCGCUGCCACCAGACAGCCAAGCAGGUGCUGGAAAGCCAGGUCAGAAGCAUGAUCCAGACCUAGACCAUUUUAUUCUGCUCUCCCAAAUAAUACAUGCUCAGUUAAGAAAAAUACUUCUACUGGAUGAAGGAACUCACCAUGGCCCACACAGGUACUCUGCCACAGUAACUCACUGAGCAGGGGCUUGCCUUUGUGAUAGUAUAUAACAGCACUCCUUGUAUAAAGGCAUAUACAAUCACAUUGCUGAUUUUGCUUGUAGCAAAAAUGAAAUUAAAUAAUGGGUCUCACAUUUCUUUCUUUUUAAAGAACAGAGCAAAGAAGGUCAAGAGCAAGGAAGCUCACAUUGCACAAAAUGGGUGCUGUCCCCAUAUUCUUUAAAACAAAUUCCUUGUGAGAAAAACUUGAGUAUCUAAAACUUGAGUAUUAUUACAGUAUUUUUAAUCUAAUUCUCAGAAGAACAGAAAAAAAUCAAAUGUAACCAAAAAUCAACUGGGACAGCCACCACCAACAGAGUACUGACACAGAUAAAGCUUUUAAUUCCCACUAGAUCAAAGUUACUAGCUAACCUUUUACGUGCUGUCAAAAGUUCAAAUUAUUUGAAACUUCUGGAUGACUGAAAUCAAAAUACCAAAGAAUAUCUUUAGUUGGAAGGGACCCAUAAGUAAUUCAAUAGAUGGGGUCAGGAAAAGACAAAAAAAAAAAAACAAGAGGUAGCCCCCUUAACAACUCUUCUCUGUAUUUCGAAAGCAAGUAUAAACCAUGAUGCUCUGCAGCCUUUACUUUAAACAUUUUUCCCAUAUUCUACACUUGGUGUGACUUGCUUUUCAAUCCCACUACCAGUUCCCAUUCCUGCUCACCAUUGAGGUCUGCCAGCACAUAAAGAGCCAGACAGGUUUAUUUGAAGCACAGACAGCUUUUUGUCCAUUCAUUUCACCAGUGUAGCUGAGCAACAUCAGCUUCCCAUUUCCCUUUAACAUCUCUGCUUGGCUGUUUUUAACCCACUUGGU